UCCCCUGUAGCUCAGUUGGUAGAGCGGGUGACUGUUAAUCACUAGGUCAGCGGUUCGAGUCCGUUCGGGGGAG
rnacentral:tRNA from 1 species